rnacentral:rRNA from 1 species
AUGCCGCCCAUCCCGCACCGGAGCCUUCUAAAGUUUUCCACCGGAAGCGGCUCCCUUCCCUUUCGGCAACCUCCAUUGCGGCCUAUAAACGGCGUCACGGGAAGUAGAUCGACAGAGCUGAGAGCUCCCCACCUCCACCCCCACGCGCGCCGAACCAACGCUCAACCACCAGCCGCGCGUCGCCUUUGCCGGUGCUCCGUCGCGCCAAUGCCCGCCCGCGCGCAACCACCUCGCCACGCCGCCUUUUAUACGCGCCCCCGAUCGUGCAGCGCCGUCGCCGGCAUGGAGAUCGUUACGGCCAGGGGCGGCUACGAGGGGCAGGAGCAGCAGCAGCAGCACCGGGGGCGGCGGCGGCGCAAGCCCAGCGACGGGCACGUCGUGGCGCAGCUGCUCGACUCGCCGCUCCCCACGCCGCGCCGCUCCUGCUGCGGGUCGGCGGCCGGCACGCCGCGCAGCGCGCGCGCCGCGUCGCCGCAGCGCACGCACGUGCCAUUCUCGUGGGAGAGCUCCCCGGGCGUGCCCAAGGCCGGCGGCGCGUCGCUGGAGCGGGGAUGGCUGCCCCCGAGGCCGCCGCCGGGGCGCGGCGGCAGCGGCGGCCGGGCGUACCACGGGGGCAACACCACCACCGACGCGACGAGCAGCGACGAUGACGACGACACCUUCUCCGACGCGCUCGACAGGAUCUCGUCGUCCGACCGGCUCGCCGCGCUCUCCGCCCGGCUGAGCUCCAUCGACGGCCGCGCCGCGUCGAGGCGCCUGUCCAGCUUCAUCAUGGACCGCUUCCUCCCUGCCGCCAACGCCAUCGCCAGGACGUCCACGGAGAAGCGCGCCAAGAAAUCGCCGCGACGCGCCGCGCGCCGCUCCGAGCACGACGACGACAACGAGGACGAGGCGCCGGCCACGGCCAGGCUCGAGACGCACACGCCACGCCGCGAGCGCCACGUCCCCGCUCUCCAGCAGGAGGAGGAGAGCUGGAAUGGCACGCCGCCGCAGGAGAUAGCGUGGCGCCACGAGGAGGAGGCGCGAGGCGACGAGACGCCUCCGAGGGCGUGCGGGUUCACGGUGCUCUUCCCCUGGUGCGUCAAGCCGGUGCUGUGCGGGUUCCCGUGGAGCCCGGCGCGGCCGCGGCACCCCCGCGCCUCCCCUCCUCGCCGGAGCACCACGAUGGGCGACGUCCUGGUGAAGGAGCUCGGGCUACGGAACGGCGACCCGUCGCACUGCAAGAGGUACUGCGCCGACGCCCGGAAGGCCCUGAGCAGGCUGGCGCGAUCGGCCACGGACAGCGGCGGCGGCGGCAGCCCGAGGACGAGCAGGGAGAGGAGGAGCGGCAAGGCGGCCUCCUCGCCGCUGCACUCGACGUCCGGGCGGAUGCCGCAGCUGCAGUUGCAGGUGAAGCCGCCGUCCGAGUCGUGGCUCUGUCACGCGCGCGGGAGCAAUGCUGUGAACAGCAAAAGAUGA